ensembl:snoRNA
AAAGCACUUUCACAGGUCCUCCCCUAGAUUGUGGGGAUACGAUUUGGUAGCUGGUGCUGAAAAAAAUAUCCUUGACUGCAUUCUUGCCCUGGAUCUGUGCCAGUGGCAGCUGUCAGCUUGAUGGGGCACAA